rnacentral:sRNA from 1 species
UAUUAGCCCUGAUGGAAACGAUAUCCUUUUUCUUGUUUCCUAAAAACAAGAAAAAGAUUUAGUGAACAGCAGGAACAAAA